rnacentral:rRNA from 1 species
AGAAUCAACGCUGGCGGCGUGCCUAACACAUGCAAGUCGAACGAGAAAGUGGAGCAAUCCAUUAGUAAAGUGGCGCACGGGUGAGUAACACGUGACUAACCUACCCUUGAGUGGGGGAUAACCUAGGGAAACCUGGGCUAAUACCGCAUAAUACCUUCGGGUCAAAGGAGCAAUUCGCUUAAGGAGGGGGUCGCGGCCGAUUAGUUAGUUGGCGGGGUAAUGGCCCACCAAGACGAUGAUCGGUAUCCGGCCUGAGAGGGCGCACGGACACACUGGAACUGAAACACGGUCCAGACUCCUACGGGAGGCAGCAGUGGGGAAUUUUGCGCAAUGGGGGAAACCCUGACGCAGCAACGCCGCGUGGAGGAUGAAGCCCCUUGGGGCGUAAACUCCUUUCGAUCGGGACGAUUAUGACGGUACCGGAAGAAGAACGCCCCGGCUAACUUCGCGCCAGCAGCCGC